rnacentral:rRNA from 1 species
GACGAACGCUGGCGGCGUGCUUAACACAUGCAAGUCGAACGAUGAAGCUGGAGCUUGCUCCGGUGGAUUAGUGGCGAACGGGUGAGUAACACGUGAGCAAUCUGCCCUUGACUCUGGGAUAACUGCGGGAAACUGUAGCUAAUACCGGAUACGAGGCUCGAAGGCAUCUUCGGGUUUGGAAAGAAUUUCGGUCAAGGAUGAGCUCGCGGCCUAUCAGCUUGUUGGUGAGGUAAUGGCUCACCAAGGCGACGACGGGUAACCGGCCUGAGAGGGUGACCGGCCACACUGGGACUGAGACACGGCCCAGACUCCUACGGGAGGCAGCAGUGGGGAAUAUUGCACAAUGGGCGAAAGCCUGAUGCAGCAACGCCGCGUGAGGGAUGAAGGCCUUCGGGUUGUAAACCUCUCUUAGCAGGGAAGAAGCGAAAGUGACGGUACCUGCAGAAAAAGCACCGGCUAACUACGUACCAGCAGCCGCCGUAA